rnacentral:rRNA from 1 species
AUUGAACGCUGGCGGCAUGCCUUACACAUGCAAGUCGAACGGUAACAGGUCUUCGGAUGCUGACGAGUGGCGAACGGGUGAGUAAUACAUCGGAACGUGCCCGACCGUGGGGGAUAACGAAGCGAAAGCUUUGCUAAUACCGCAUAGGAUCUACGGAUGAAAGCAGGGGACCGCAAGGCCUUGCGCGAACGGAGCGGCCGAUGGCAGAUUAGGUAGUUGGUGGGAUAAAAGCUUACCAAGCCGACGAUCUGUAGCUGGUCUGAGAGGACGACCAGCCACACUGGGACUGAGACACGGCCCAGACUCCUACGGGAGGCAGCAGUGGGGAAUUUUGGACAAUGGGCGGAAGCCUGAUCCAGCCAUGCCGCGUGCAGGAUGAAGGCCUUCGGGUUGUAAACUGCUUUUGUACGGAACGAAAAGACUCUGGUUAAUACCUGGGGUCCAUGACGGUACCGUAAGAAUAAGCACCGGCUAACUACGUG